CCAGACUCCUACGGGAGGCAGCAGUAGGGAAUUUUGCGCAAUGGGCGAAAGCCUGACGCAGCAACACCGCGUGAAUGUUAAGCCCUUCGGGGUGUCAAGUUCUGUCAAUAGGGACGAAUUUUGACUGUACCUAUAAAGGAAGCACCGGCUAACUCCGUGCCAGCAGCCGCGGUAAUACGGAGGAUGCGAGCGUUAUCCGGAUUUAUUGGGUUUAAAGGGUGCGUAGGCGGAAUGCCAAGUCAGCGGUAAAAUCGCGGGGCUCAACCUCGCUCCGCCGUUGAAACUGGCGUUCUUGAGUGGGCGAGAAGUAUGCGGAAUGCGUGGUGUAGCGGUGAAAUGCAUAGAUAUCACGCAGAACUCCGAUUGCGAAGGCAGCAUACCGGCGCCCAACUGACGCUGAAGCACGAAAGCGUGGGUAUCGAACAGGAUUAGAUACCCGCGUAGG
rnacentral:rRNA from 1 species